AAUAACCCGGCAGCGAGUGAUUUAUGAACCAACACUCACUGACAGGGGAGCAUCCUGAAGCCAGUGUUGAGCAAGCCUGUCUCGUAACAGGAAGCCUGAUCCGGCUCAUCCGCUUCCCACUUGAACCUCAGGGUUCAAAAUCUUGGCCUGUCGGGCUUACC
rnacentral:other from 1 species